AUUGAACGCUGGCGGCAGGCUUAACACAUGCAAGUCGAACGAGUGGCGGACGGGUGAGUAAUGCUUGGGAAACUAGCUUAUGGAGGGGGAUACCUACUGGAAACGGUAGCUAAUACCGCGUACCCUCGGAUGUGCCCAAGUGGGAUUAGGUAUUUGGUUAGGUAAAGGCUCACCAAGCCGACGAUCGCUAGCUGUGCUGAGAGGAUGACCAGCCAAACUGGGACUGAGACACGGCCCAGACUCCGACGGGAGGCAGCGUUGGGGAAUAGUGCGCAAUGGGGGAAAUCUGACGCAGCCAUGCCGCGUGAAUGAAGAAGGCCUUCGGGUUGUAAAGUUCUUUCUGUAGCGAGGCGUUAACUACAGAAGAAGCACCGGCUAACUCCGUGCCAGCAGCCGAGGUAAUUC
rnacentral:rRNA from 1 species